UGCCACCUGCUGACAGGGAGAAUGGAGGAGGCCAAGGUCAAGCCCAGGGGCAGCCUGCCUUGGUCCUAAGUGUGAGCGGCUGGUGGAGAUGAGCCAGGAGGAGGCAGAAGCUGGAGUUUUACAGCUUCAGAUCUGGGUAUUUAUCCAAAAGACUUGAAACUGGGGUCCUGAGGAGAUACAAACACUUCUCAGUUCAUUAAAGCACUAUUCAC
rnacentral:lncRNA from 1 species